UGCAAAGCGCAACGCUUAGCGCUCCAAUUUAGGAACGGCAGUAAGAUUGUAAAUUACUUCAACUGUUUUAACAAGUGGAAAAUCAUCUACAUUUUCUUAUUGCCGAUUAAGAAAGGAAAUCAGUUUACAUAACUAGCUGCUAGCUACUUGCCUGAAAAUUUCCUUAGUAUAAACCUUUGCAAAACGAUUUUUCAGCACACAUAUGUGUACAUACAUAUGUAUGUAUGUAUCUUUGUAAGUAAAACGAGAAAAUUA